UACGGAGGGCGCAAGCGUUAUCCGGAUUCACUGGGUUUAAAGGGUGCGUAGGCGGACCAGCAAGUCCGUUGUGAAAUCUCCGAGCUUAACUCGGAAAUUGCGGUGGAUACUAUUGUUCUUGAAUACUGUUGAGGUUAGCGGAAUAUGUCAUGUAGCGGUGAAAUGCAUAGAUAUGACAUAGAACACCAAUUGCGAAGGCAGCUGGCUAAACAGAUAUUGACGCUGAGGCACGAAAGCGUGGGGAUCAAACAGG
rnacentral:rRNA from 1 species